GAUGAACGCUGGCGGCGUGCCUAAUACAUGCAAGUCGAGCGAACAGACGAGGAGCUUGCUCCUUUGACGUUAGCGGCGGACGGGUGAGUAACACGUGGAUAACCUACCUAUAAGACUGGGAUAACUUCGGGAAACCGGAGCUAAUACCGGAUAAUAUAUUGAACCGCAUGGUUCAAUAGUGAAAGACGGUUUUGCUGUCACUUAUAGAUGGAUCCGCGCCGCAUUAGCUAGUUGGUAAGGUAACGGCUUACCAAGGCAACGAUGCGUAGCCGACGUGAGAGGGUGAUCGGCCACACUGGAACUGAGACACGGUCCAGACGCCUACGGGAGGCAGCAGUAGGGAAUCUUCCGCAAAGGGCGAAAGCCUGACGGAGCAACGCCGCGUGAGUGAUGAAGGUCUUCGGAUCGUAAAACUCUGUUAUUAGGGAAGAACAAAUGUGUAAGUAACUAUGCACGUCUUGACGGUACCUAAUCAGAAAGCCACGGCUAACUACGUG
rnacentral:rRNA from 1 species